rnacentral:tRNA from 2 species
GCGCGAGUGGCGGAAUUGGCAGACGCGCUGGAUUUAGGUUCCAGUGCCUCCGGGCGUGGGGGUUCAAGUCCCCCCUCGCGCA